rnacentral:rRNA from 1 species
UACGUAGGGUGCAAGCGUUAAUCGGAAUUACUGGGCGUAAAGGGCUCGUAGGCGGCCAACUAAGUCGGAUGUGAAAUCCCCAGGCUUAACCUGGGAACUGCAUCCGAUACUGGAUGGCUUGAAUCCGGGAGAGGGAUGCGGAAUUCCAGGUGUAGCGGUGAAAUGCGUAGAUAUCUGGAGGAACACCGGUGGCGAAGGCGGCAUCCUGGACCGGCAUUGACGCUGAGGAGCGAAAGCCAGGGGAGCAAACGGG